ACCAGAGCUGACUGUGACUCUGCAUGUUUUGUGUCCCUGUUCUGGAAAUCCCUCUAAUGUCUUAGAAGAGCAACUCAUAAUGAAUUAAGAGCCAGGAGUGUCAAACCCUUGCAGUUUCUUACAAUAAACUUGAGAGAAGUAACUAUCACGGAACUGCAAACAUCAAGAUCCCCUUUCUGUCAGCCUUGUACUUUCUCAGACUAUCCAACAUGUACUGUUGUUAAACAUAAAUGGAAAGAGGACACCCAUCAGGAACACAAGAGAGGACUAAUUAGGUUGUGGCUCAGCACCAGACAGAAAAGAUGCCUAUUUGCUUUGUAGUGCUGGCUGCAAUCUGGAGUCCUUGGUGAUUCUUGUGAGGAAAUACUGCACCUCCCUAAGGCAUGCUUGCUUUGGUACAAGCUGGAUGGCCACUGGAAAGCAGAACUACAGGAAAAAGCGUGCCUGGCACAGGUAGAGUGUGAUUAACUCUGUUGACUCACAGUCAACUCUGGUGAUUAAGGGAGAUGUGUUUCCCCUUAUUUUAA
rnacentral:lncRNA from 1 species